rnacentral:rRNA from 1 species
GACGUAGGGAGCGAGCGUUGUCCGGAUUCAUUGGGCGUAAAGGGUCCGUAGGCGGCUCAGCAAGUCGGGUGUGAAAGCCCUGGGCUCAACCCAGGAAGUGCAUUCGAAACUGGCGAGCUUGAAUAUGGAAGAGGGUCGCGGAAUUCCCGGUGUAGAGGUGAAAUUCGUAGAUAUCGGGAGGAACACCAGUGGCGAAGGCGGCGACCUGGGCCAAUAUUGGACGCUGAGGUGCGAAAGCGUGGGGAGCAAACAGG